CUCCAGGUCGCCAAGUGGGAAGGCGUUGGUCUGCAAAACCAACUAUUCGCGCGAACCUUCGGUAGCGCUUCGCGAGCAAUUCCCGCCCUGGAGUCCA
rnacentral:tRNA from 2 species